UCGUGCUAGAUGGGGAGGUAGCGGUGCCCUGUAACCUGCAAUCCGCUAUAGCAGGAUUGAAGUCCUAUCUGAGGCUUUGUGUUUGUAGAGUCUGCCCUAAAUAAGUGGUGAGGAUAAUUGGGUCCUACGCAACGGGAACUUAUGAACCCCGUCAGAUCCGGAAGGAAGCAGCGGUAAGUAAGACAUCCCGUGUGCCGUGGGGGCGCCUGGUUUGAGCUAACUGUUUAGGUUACGUCUAUGACACCAUGUCGAUGAUAGGUGCACGG
rfam:Clostridium halophilum strain M1 genome assembly, contig: G325DRAFT_scaffold00026.26